AACCCAGCAGCUAGCCCCC
rnacentral:rRNA from 1 species